UACGGAGGGGGCUAGCGUUGUUCGGAAUUACUGGGCGUAAAGCGCGCGUAGGCGGACCUGCAAGUCGGGGGUGAAAGCCCGAGGCUCAACCUCGGAACUGCCUUCGAUACUGCGGGUCUCGAGUCCGGGAGAGGUGAGUGGAAUUCCUAGUGUAGAGGUGAAAUUCGUAGAUAUUAGGAAGAACACCAGUGGAGAAGGCGGCUCACUGGCCCGGUACUGACGCUGAGGCGCGAAAGCGUGGGGAGCAAACAGG
rnacentral:rRNA from 1 species